UGGGGAAUAUUGCACAAUGGACGGAAGUUUGAUGCAGCGACGCCGCGUGGAGGGUGUAGGCCUUCGGGUUGUGAACUCCUUUUUCUCGCGAAAAAGGCACAGUUUUGGAUGUGUUGACGGUAGUGGGGGAAGAAGCGCCGGCUAACUACGUGCCAGCAGCCGCGGUAAUACGUAGGGAGCGAGCGUUGUCCGGAUUUAUUGGGCGUAAAGAGCUCGUAGGUGGUUCGUCGCGUCUGUCGUGAAAGCCAGCAGCAUAACUGUUGGUCUGCGGUGGGUACGGGCGGGCUUGAGUGCGGUAGGGGUGAGUGGAAUUCCUGGUGUAGCGGUGGAAUGCGCAGAUAUCAGGAGGAACACCGAUGGAGAAGGCAGGUCACUGGGCCGUUACUGACACGGAGGAGCGAAAGCGUGGGGAGCGAACAGG
rnacentral:rRNA from 1 species